rfam:Aedes aegypti strain Liverpool supercont1.620 genomic scaffold, whole genome shotgun sequence.
GGUUCGGUGGCUUAGUUGGUGAAGCACUCGCCUAACAUACAAGAGUCGUGGGUUCGAUUCCCACCUGAGCAC